GAGACCCCAGAUCAGGUGGGACUACCCGCUGAGUU
rnacentral:rRNA from 1 species